AUGCCUAUGAGGAUAUCAAAUAUAAAGAACACCAUCUUGCCGGACUGAAUGGCUUUAACACCUUGGUGACUUAUUCUGCAAUUCUGAGGCUU